rnacentral:rRNA from 1 species
AGAGUUUGAUCCUGGCUCAGGAUGAACGCUGGCGGCGUGCUUAACACAUGCAAGUCGAGCGAAGCAGUUAAGUUGAUUUCUUCGGAUUGAUUCUUAACUGACUGAGCGGCGGACGGGUGAGUAACGCGUGGGUGACCUGCCCCAUACCGGGGGAUAACAGCUGGAAACGGCUGCUAAUACCGCAUUAGCGCACAGAGCUGCAUGGCUCAGUGUGAAAAACUCCGGUGGUAUAAGAUGGACCCGCGUUGGAUUAGCUAGUUGGUGAGGUAACGGCCCACCAAGGCGACGAUCCAUAGCCGACCUGAGAGGGUGACCGGCCACAUUGGGACUGAGACACGGCCCAAACUCCUACGGGAGGCAGCAGUGGGGAAUAUUGCACAAUGGGCGAAAGCCUGAUGCAGCGACGCCGCGUGAGCGAAGAAGUAUUUCGGUAUGUAAAGCUCUAUCAGCAGGGAAGAUAAUGACGGUACCUGACUAAGAAGCACCGGCUAAAUACGUGCCAGCAGCCGCGGUAAUACGUAUGGUGCAAGCGUUGUCCGGAUUUAUUGGGCGUAAAGCGAGCGCAGGCGGUUUGAUAAGUCUGAAGUUAAAGGCUGUGGCUCAACCAUAGUUCGCUUUGGAAACUGUCAAACUUGAGUGCAGAAGGGGAGAGUGGAAUUCCAUGUGUAGCGGUGAAAUGCGUAGAUAUAUGGAGGAACACCGGUGGCGAAAGCGGCUCUCUGGUCUGUAACUGACGCUGAGGCUCGAAAGCGUGGGGAGCGAACAGGAUUAGAUACCCUGGUAGUCCACGCCGUAAACGAUGAAUACUAGGGUGUGGGGGGGACAAAGUUCUUCGGUGCAGUCGCAAACGCAAUGAGUAUUCCACAUGGGGAGUACGUUCGCAAGAAUGAAACUCAAAAGGAUAUGACGGGGACCCGCACUAAGCGAUGGAGCAUGUGGUAAAAUUCGAAGCAACGCGAAGAACCUUCCUUAGUAUUGACAUCCUUCUGACCGGUCCAUAACCGGACCUUUCCUUCAGGACAGGAGAGACAGGUGGAGCAUGGUUAUCGUCAGCUCGUGUCGUGAGAUGUUGGGUUAAGUCCCGCAACGAGCGCAACCCCUAUCUUUAGUAGCCAGCAUUUCAGGUGGGCACUCUAGAGAGACUGCCAGGGAUAACCUGGAGGAAGGUGGGGACGACGUCAAAUCAUCAUGCCCCUUAUGACCAGGGCUACACACGUGCUACAAUGGCGUAAUCAGAGGGAAGCAGCCUCGUGAGAGUGAGCAAAUCCCAAAAAUAACGUCUCAGUUCGGAUAGUAGUCUGCAACUCGACUACAUGAAGCUGGAAUCGCUAGUAAUCGCGAAUCAGAAUGUCGCGGUGAAUACGUUCCCAGGGUCUUGCACACACCGCCCGUCA